UACGUAGGUGACAAGCGUUGUCCGGAUUUACUGGGCGUAAAGAGCGCGCAGGCGGUCGAUCAAGUCGAGUGUGAAAGCCCCCGGCUCAACUGGGGAGGGUCAUUCGAUACUGAUCGACUCGAAGGCAGGAGAGGGUAGUGGAAUUCCCGGUGUAGUGGUGAAAUGCGUAGAUAUUAGGAAGAACACCAGUGGCGAAGGCGGCUACCUGGCCCACUCUUCGACG
rnacentral:rRNA from 1 species